rnacentral:lncRNA from 10 species
CUUUGCUAUUAAUAUGAUAAAUACUUUUUCUUAAGACAUUGUUUAUCUACAGAAAGACUACCAUAUUCAAGAUUUAAAGGUAGAUUGUUUUUGUUCACAUCAUUUUGAUCUUAGGUUUUGCUGGAAACAUUCACAAGAAGGGGGCCUUUAAUUUAUGUAUGCUUUAAGAAUACUUAAUAGCUAAUCUACAAAUUAAAAAAAAAAAUACCUGGCUAGGCACGGUGGCUCACGCCUGUAAUCCCAGCACUUUGGGAGGCCGAGGUGGGCAGAUCACGAGGUCAGGAGAUCGAGACCAUCCGGGCUAACAUGCAGAAGCCCUGUCUCUACUAAAAACUCAAAAAAUUAGCCGGGCGUGGUGGCACAUGCCUCUAGUCC